rnacentral:rRNA from 1 species
GACGAACGCUGGCGGCGUGCUUAACACAUGCAAGUCGAACGGAAAGGCCCUGCUUUUGUGGGGUGCUCGAGCGGCGAACGGGUGAGUAACACGUGAGUAACCUGCCCUUGACUUUGGGAUAACUUCAGGAAACUGGGGCUAAUACCGGAUAGGAGCUCCUGCUGCAUGGUGGGGGUUGGAAAGUUUCGGCUGUUGGGGAUGGACUCGCGGCUUAUCAGCUUGUUGGUGGGGUAGUGGCUUACCAAGGCUUUGACGGGUAGCCGGCCUGAGAGGGUGACCGGCCACAUUGGGACUGCGAUACGGCCCAGACUCCUACGGGAGGCAGCAGUGGGGAAUAUUGCCCAAUGGGCGGAAGCCUGAUGCAGCAACGCCGCGUGCGGGAUGACGGCCUUCGGGUUGUAAACCGCUUUCGCCUGUGACGAAGCGUGAGUGACGGUAAUGGGUAAAGAAGCACCGGCUAACUACGUG